rnacentral:rRNA from 1 species
UAAUACAGAGGGUGCGAGCGUUAAUCGGAAUUACUGGGCGUAAAGCGCACGUAGACGGUUUUGUAAGUCAGAUGUGAAAUCCCCGGGCUCAACCUGGGAACUGCAUUUGAGACUGCAUGGCUAGAGUAUGGAAGAGGGAAGUGGAAUUUCCGGUGUAGCGGUGAAAUGCGUAGAUAUCGGAAGGAACACCAGUGGCGAAAGCGACUUCCUGGUCCAAUACUGACGUUCAUGUGCGAAAGCGUGGGGAGCAAACAGG